rnacentral:sRNA from 1 species
UAAGUGAAGGUGAUUGCGAUGCUAAUA